ensembl:snRNA U6 U6 spliceosomal RNA
GUGCUCGCUUCAGCAAUACAUAUACUAAAAUUGGAAUGAUACAGAGAAGGUUGGCAUGACCUCUGUGCAAGAAUGACAGAAAUUCAUCAAACGUUCCAUUUUUAA